UGUAGGUGCUGGGAAUCAAAGCUGGGUCCUCUGGAAAAGCAUCCAACGCUCUUAACUGCUGAGCCGUUUCCCAGCUCCCUUUUAAAGGUGUCCUGUUUUGUUUAACUUGCUGUGUAGCUGAAAGUGUCCUUGAAUUCCUAGUCCCGGUGCUCCCAUCUUGGUUUCUCUCCUCCCCCUGCCAUGUCCAAAUACUGCCUCUUCUUGAUAUGUGAUGGUACCCAGAGAACCACAGGAUCUGUCUCCACUCCAGGAACUCUCCAGAGGCCUGGCCCUGCCAGCAGCAUUGCCCUUUUUGAAGCUGGAAAAGGGUCCCACCCCUGCCAAAGAGCGGCAGAAAACGAGAAACGGCGCUUCCUGGUAUUCUCCCUGGCCCUUGUAUCCUGUCUUCAAGCCUAAGGCCAAACAGCUCUGGGUCUCCCCAGACUGUCACCACCCCCGUCUCACCCUCACACCUAGCACAUCCCCAAAGAGUCUCUGAACGCCUCCAUCAGGAAGAAGCCAGCGAGCUUGGCGACAGAUGACUUAGCAUACUCUCUGGGUCUUACAGAGGUCGGGAACCCCACAUGGCCUCUGUCUCCUGCUCCACUCAGCACCGGGCUCCCUGAAGAUGUACCGCUUGCCUUUGGCACACAAGCUGCCCAGGCUGCUCAUAUACACAGUAGGCAGACUGCUUGGCGCUGCAGAGCACUGUAAUUUUUAAGGCCCAGUCUCAGUACUGACUCCAUCUGUCCCUCCUCAGCAGUCCAGGGAGGGGAAGAAGGCUGCUCAAGGUCCUGCAUGAUGAGAGCUCAUCCCUUAGCGCUUCCAGCAGGUGACAUCUCAGUCUCUAAACCACAUCCCUUUCUUCGGUGCCCCUUGUAGUAUCCCAGACUCCUGCCAGACUCCCCGUUUUUUGCUCAUUCACUGGCUGCCCCACACCAUCCCUUCUGCCCCUCAUGUGGGGAAGUAGGUUGGUGGGCAAUAAGAAUACAGCCGCAAAGCCCUGGACACAGGAUAAAAAGAAACCAAAAUCCUCUUUUUUUUUUUUUAAUAAAUUUAAG